rnacentral:lncRNA from 1 species
CCACUCUGGACUUCACCAAGGUAGUGCCUGAUGUCUUAGACUUUCUUCUUGAGCUCCUUCUCUUACCAUGAUCUUUCGGGCCUAGGGGAGUAGGUCAGGGUCAAAUCUCCAAUGCAGGAAGAGCUUUUCGACUGUGCCUCCUCCCUCAAGCUCCGACAAGAGGAGGAUCGGGCCGCAAAGGUAGAAAAAUGAUGGGAGUAUCAUUGAGGGGU